UACGGGGGGUGCGAGCGUUGUCCGGAAUCACUGGGCGUAAAGCGUGCGCAGGCGGUUUUGUAAGCCAGAUGUGAAAGCCCCGGGCUUAACCUGGGAAUGGCAUUUGGGACUGCAAGGCUUGAGUGCGGCAGAGGAGACUGGAAUUCCACGUGUAGCAGUGAAAUGCGUAGAGAUGUGGAGGAACACCGAUGGCGAAGGCAGCCCCCUGGGCUAAAACUGACGCUCAUGCACGAAAGCGUGGGGAGCAAACAGG
rnacentral:rRNA from 1 species